ensembl:ncRNA lncRNA:CR45888 long non-coding RNA:CR45888
GAAAUUUCAUUUCAAAUGAUUUACUGUAACGAUCAACAAACGCAGGAAUUGCCCCAGACAGACGAGUCAACCCCCGAGGGCGGCGCUUAAAGGGGUGCGAAAGUUUAGCGAGCGUAUCGCAGUCAAUAUAUCCAGAAUAUAUCCAACAGCGAUAAGUUCGGGGUGAGUGGAGAAUGGGAGCCCAGGAUGCCCCAGCAAGCGGACAUCUCUCCAAGGUUAACUUUAAGCUCAUCUCUACUGGAGGACUCUUUAAGAGUGCGAAAAGUUGUCCCUAGCCGGGAUGCUCAACAGGAUGCUUGACACCGAAACGAAACCUGGGUGGCGAACUGCACCCUCGUCGUUGGGCAAAAACAAAGAAACCGAAACUGUUGGUUUAGUUACCAUGGGUGCGAAGGGGAGAUUUUGCGGCUAGAUUUGAUAAACAAUUUGGGUAUUUAAAUGAGGAGGGGCUUACCCAUUACAAGUUUAACAAUAAUAUUAAAGUGUGAAGAC